rnacentral:sRNA from 1 species
CCGGUCUUAGCUGGACCCGUCUGGGAGGCCUAGGAGCUCAAUUACCAGGAUGAAUUUCUUCCCCAGGGUGUACUACAGACCUCCACAUGUUGGACAGUAGGAUUCAGCAGAGAAUGAGUCCCACAUCCUCUGUUCAUCCAUAAGCCACUCUUCCAACUACUCUUCCACCUUCCAUUAUCCCUAUGUCUACUUUACUGCUCAAUCUGGAUUUUGGGGAACCUCCUCCCAAAAAGGCAUUAGAAGGAAAUGCCAAGCACCGAAAUUUUGUCAAGAAGCGGAGGCUCUUAGAACGGAGAGGCUUUCUGAGUAAAAAGAACCAACCCCCUAUCAAGGCGCCUAAGUUGCACUCUGAACCUCCAAAGAAAGGGGAAACUCCUACGGUGGAUGGCACUUGGAAGACCCCUUCCUUCCCAAAAAAGAAGAAGACAGCUGCCUCCAGCAAUGGGUCAGGACAGCCCCUGGACAAGAAAGCCGCAGUGUCUUGGUUGACCCCUGCCCCUUCAAAAAAGGCUGAUUCUGUUGCUGCUAAAGUAGAUUUGCUGGGAGAGUUCCAGAGUGCCCUUCCAAAGAUCAAUAGCCACCCAACCCGCUCUCAG